CAGACCCUGCCUAAAACCUGACC
rnacentral:siRNA from 1 species